rnacentral:rRNA from 1 species
AGAGUUUGAUCCUGGCUCAGGAUGAACGCUGGCGGCGUGCCUAACACAUGCAAGUCGAACGGAGUUAAAGGAGCUUGCUCCUUUAGCUUAGUGGCGGACGGGUGAGUAACGCGUGGGUAACCUACCUCAUACAGGGGGAUAACAGCUGGAAACGGCUGCUAACACCGCAUAAGAUUGUAGUGCCGCAUGACAUAGCAAUCAAAUAUUUAUAGGUAUGAGAUGGGCCCGCGUCUGAUUAGCUAGUUGGCGGUGCAACGGACCACCAAGGCGACGAUCAGUAGCCGGCUUGAGAGAGUGACCGGCCACAUUGGGACUGAGACACGGCCCAAACUCCUACGGGAGGCAGCAGUGGGGAAUAUUGGGCAAUGGGGGCAACCCUGACCCAGCGACGCCGCGUGAGUGAAGAAGUAUUUCGGUAUGUAAAGCUCUAUCAGCAGGGAAGAUAAUGACGGUACCUGACUAAGAAGCCCCGGCUAACUACGUGCCAGCAGCCGCGGUAAUACGUAGGGGGCAAGCGUUAUCCGGAUUUACUGGGUGUAAAGGGAGCGUAGGCGGCGCUGCAAGUCAGAUGUGAAACCCCGGGGCUUAACCCCGGGACUGCAUUUGAAACUGCGCGGCUGGAGUACCGGAGAGGAAGGCGGAAUUCUUGGUGUAGCGGUGAAAUGCGUAGAUAUCAAGAAGAACACCGAUGGCGAAGGCAGCCUUCUGGACGGAUACUGACGCUGAGGCUCUAAAGUCAGGGGAGCAAACAGGAUUAGAUACCCUGGUAGUCCUGACCAUAAACGGUGUGCACUUGGUGUGCGGGGAAUUGUCCCUCCGCGCGCCGUAGCCAACGCGUUAAGUGCACCGCCUGGGGAGUACGGCCGCAAGGUUAAAACUCAAAGGAAUUGACGGGGACCCGCACAAGCGGUGGAGCAUGUGGCUUAAUUCGAUGCAACGCGAAGAACCUUACCUGGACUUGACAUGCAGGUGGUAGGGAACCGAAAGGGGACCGACGGCGGCAACGCCGAGCCUGCACAGGUGCUGCAUGGCUGUCGUCAGCUCGUGCUGUGAGGUGUUGGGUUAAGUCCCGCAACGAGCGCAACCCCUGUGGCUAGUUGCCAUCAUUCAGUUGGGCACUCUAGCCAGACUGCCUGUGAUAAGCAGGAGGAAGGUGGGGAUGACGUCAAGUCAGUAUGGUCCUUAUGUCCAGGGCUGCACACGUGCUACAAUGACCGGUACAGAAGGAAGCGAAGCCGCGAGGCGGAGCGGACCCCCAAAACCGGUCCCAGUUCGGAUUGGAGUCUGCAACCCGACUCCAUGAAGCCGGAAUCGCUAGUAACGGCGUAUCAGCUACGACGCCGUGAAUACGUUCCCGGGCCUUGCACACACCGCCCGUCAAG